AUCCUCAGCUAAGUGAGUGUCAGAGUAAAUACUUCAGACGUUUUCCCUUCUGCUUUCUCUCCUCCUUCCUUUGGUCCACUGAGGUUUCUGUGGAAAAAAGAAUGAGAAAAUGCUUGCCAGUCAUUGCUUAGGGUGAGCUGAUUAUGCCAACAAAAGACAGAUAUAUUCUGCUGAGAGUUUUGGGUGGUGAUGGCAAGAAUCACUUCGUGGUUGAAAUGGUAAGAUUCAGAAUGUGGAAGCUUAGGGAUGUUAGGAUUUUUUUUUUUUUUUUGAGAUUUGUAAUAUAGGGCUUUUCAGGCAGCCAGGAUAAAUUUAUCUGCUUGUCAUCCUGGAUUCCCCAAAUAUCAGAUCCUGCAAAACUUACUCAGAUAAGUUUGUAAAAACUGUGAUGUUGCCAUAAGGGUGCAACGUGAAAUAACUCUGCUGAAACUUUGUGUUGGUAACUCCUUUUCCAUAAUAUUGUCCUCGAAUAAUUUUGGGGGAUGGUGGCCUAAUUUUUGUCACACACCACUAUACAAUCCAUUCAGCUGCCAUCUUGUCAUCUUGAAUUAGCUGCAGAAUACAAGGUUGCUUUCAUUGUUGGUAUAUUUCCUGGGCAAUCAUGACAGGUUUCUUGCCAGUCUCUCUGAACCAUAUUGAUGUUUAGUACUGAUGUUUAUUUAUUACUGGACAUUCAAAGGAGUGGCCAGACAGUAACCCAGAUAAUUUUUUCGCUGAAUAGACUAUAUGUCUGCUUUCUAAGGUAUUGCCUACUCUUGAGAGAAAAAGAAUUGUGUAGCUUGCUCCUGUUUGUGCUGAGUGACUUGUGCACAGCUGAUAAAAUUAUUUUGACCUCGGAGUUUUUUAUUCCUGGGUUUCUAGAAACAAAUGUUUAAUUCUCAUUUUAUUUCCAUUUUACAUUUGAGACACAAUAUUUCAGCAUAGAGUGUAACGCCUCCUUCGCUCUUACUUUUUGUUUAACUGUUCUGAGUCAGCUUCACACCUUGUGCAAACACCUUUUUCUAAUGUAAUCAAAACAAGGAUCGUUCCCACUCCACUGUUUUAUGGCUUUGAGAAUUCACAAGGGUUAAGGUAUUGUUUUUGAGAUGAUUAAAGGUUAUAAAAAGCAUGUGAUCCUUUUUCUUUCUGCCAAGUUCAAAUUGUCCCGUAGGUAUCUUACAAGCCCCCAGCCCUGUAGCAUGAAUACAACGUAUACAAAUAGGAGAAUGUUGCGUCCUUUCACAAGGUUUUCCCUGCUAUUGUAUCAGUAGAAACAUGUUAACUAACCUGUCACUAUGUUACUGGCAGUAGAUAACCUUUCCAGGGUGGGUUUUCUUUCGUGGUUUGGUUGGUUUGUGUUAGGUUGAGUUUGCUUUUGUGGUUUUUUUGGGUUUUUUUUGUGUUUGUUCGUUUGGUUAUUUGAGCCUGUAAGAAACUAAUGAAUGAAAACCCUAUGUAUGUCUUCUCAAGAUGAAACUUUCUGUGUCUGACAUGAUGUAAUAAAUGACCCCAGGAUAGGCCUGUAUUGAAAGAUUUGUUUCUUUGAAUGGAGUAAAAGAAACUUGACUGAAGAGCUACAGUAAUGUCUGCAGAGGCUGUAGCAUUUUAUUGUGAAAUGUACCAUAAUAGUGUUUCAAAAACAGGUUUCAGAUGCACAAACAUUUGCUUUUUUUUUAGGAUUUUAUUUAACCUCGUUUAAUU